rnacentral:lncRNA from 1 species
GAAAAUGGAAUAUAAAAAUAGAGCAUAUAAAGUUAGAACAAGAGCUGAAGCAAAUAACACUGAGCAAAAGCAAUAUCAUCCUCUUACACAACCCCUUGACUUGCACUGUAUGGGGUAUCAUAAUCUGAACAAUGACUACUCGCCUGGCUUGAUGUUUCUGAAAAAAACUUAAAAGGACAAAUUGAUAAAACCAUCACACCUCAACUCUACAAACAUAGGAAAAAUGGCACAAUUGUCCUUCAAUCCAAAGGACGCAGUCUCAUACAAGUUACCAAUAUAAACCUGUUAUCAAAAUAUAUAUUCAUUAACAUCUCAUAGGAAUAAUAGGAUAGUUACAUGACUAGAGUUCUAAAAUCCACCAACAUAAUAUAUAUAUCUCCAGGGACUGACAAACUAAACCCAAAAAGUAUCAUCACAAGUUAUACGUACAAUUAUCUCAAGUUAUACCCAAAACCCAAAUUCCUAAGAUUCCUCCAGUGAUGUAGCUUUCCUCCUAUUUUUCGGCAGUUGAAAAAGAAUUGCAAUGAAUGGUAUGAGCAAAGCACCUCUCAAUAAAUAGUACAUUUCUCAACAGAUAGAGCAUAAACUAUUCACAGUAUAAACAGCAACAGAAACACAACCAAAUCCAGUAUAUAAUAUACGUAAAAGUCUAAAUAUGAGUUACAUCACUCUAACAAUGUUUUCAACGUAUUAGAAAAAUGCUCAUUCGAUCAACAAUAUUUAAGUAAACAUCUGAGGUCUAGUCUAUUGAUCACUCUAGUACUUCAUAUUAAACUAUAGCCAUGUCUAACGCCCCAUGACAAGGCUUACCAAGGUAUCCUUCUAGGCAUAGGUCUCCACUAAUCUCAGCUGGUGGCUUUGGCUAUACAAGACAUCCUGAGAACAUGUUUGCUUACUCACAUCCCUUUAAUGAUUUCAGAUCAUAGUGAUAAGAGGAUAAAAUAAUCAAUAUAAUCCUAUCUGCAACAAACCCAUUUCAGAACUCGUUUGAUAAACCGGAGUAAAAAAUCGAUACAACCCUUCACAAUUCCAUCCACAAGAAGAAUACAUACAUGAAGAAUUUCUCAAACAAUUUCAUAAAUAAUAAACUGUCCAACCAUCUCAGGAGAUAUUUUACUAUGCUAUUUCAAAUAACCAAAUGGGUAUGAAAUGCAAGAUCUAGCUUUAUACAACAAAAAUGUUCUAAACACCAUUUAAAAAAAAAAAAAAAUCAUAGCGUGCAAUGUUCUCGUUCAUAACUUAUGGCAUAUGUAAUAUCUAUGAUUUUCAAGCCGUGAGUUUACAAAUCAUAGAAGAAAUAAGUACCACUCCUCGCUAACCAAAAGCUAAAUUAAAAGCUUUACCACCUGAAAAGCUAAAAAAUCCUAUCAAAGAAAGCAUUAACCAAAUGUGAAACUUACAUAUCACUAACCUCAACUAAGAUUCUACAAGGUGACACUAAUUUUUGGAGUCAAAACAUCCAAUAUGAGUCGACAAAAACGCCACACAAGCAUCAAACUUGCUACAGCAAACAGAGCAGCAAUCUCGUCGUACGUUGUGAAUUUUGGCAUGUCAUACAUCUCUACUAGACUCCAUUUUAAGUGAUUUUACCGUCAAACGAGAGCUAAUUCAAAGUACUAAAAGACCAAAAACUCCUUAGAGCCAAAAUUUGGCCGACGACUGAUGAAAUCCAGGACAAAACCCUGCUGGUUGCAGUUACUGUACAUUAGUUUUUGAGAACUUCGAAGAAUCAAUAUCUUUCAAACGGCAAUCCGUAAAAUCUCACAAUUCCAAGACCAACCUAACGUUUCGAAACGACAUCAUUUCAAGGCUCAACAAUCUCAAGAAUCAACCCGGCAACCCUAAAACCUGAACCAAUCCGAAAUUACAACUUAACAGAGCAAAUUUCUUUGAUUUCAUUAGAUUUAUCAAGGUUUGGAAUUUCUUACCGAGUGCUUCAAAACGGUAUGAAUCUAGCUCGUCGUGGCCUCCGAGCCGAAUCGCAGCAAAAGCCCCCUUUCGCUCACUCUCAGAUUCCCCUUUUCUCUGUUUUCUCUUUCUUUUACCGACUCGCUCCACUCUCUCUUUUUUCUGCUCUUUAUUUUUUGUAUGAACCAACUCCAGAAGAGAACGAGAAGAUG